rnacentral:lncRNA from 1 species
AAAAGUGGGCGUCGGCGCCGGCGCCAUUUUGCGAACGGCGAGCAGCGGCGGCGGCGCGGGAAGUGCAGCGGAGGUUUUUGCUGGUUUCGGACCCCAGCGGCCGGAUGGUGAAAUCCUCCCUGCAGCGGAUCCUCAACAGCCACUGCUUCGCCAGAGAGAAGGAAGGGGACAAACGCAGCGCCACGCUUCACGCCAGCCGCACCAUGCCGCUUCUUAGUCAGCACAGCCGCGGCGGCUGCAGCAGCGAGAGGGUUGCCCUUAAUUGCUGUAGUAACCUGGGUCCGGGGCCUCGGUGGUGCUCCUGAUGUCCCUCACCCACCCCUGAAGAUCCCAGGUGGGCGAGGGAACAGUCAGCGGGAUCACAGUCUUUCAGCUAGCAUCCUGUACUCCGACGAGCGGCUGAAUGUGACAGAGGAGCCGACGUCUAACGACAAGACCAGGGUCCUGAGCAUCCAGUCCACGCUCACGGAGGCCAAGCAGGUCACCUGGAGGGCGGUGUGGAGUGGUGGUGGCCUCUACAUCGAGCUCCCAGCUGGACCUCUGCCUGAGGGCAGUAAGGACAGUUUUGCAGCUCUCCUAGAGUUCGCAGAGGAGCAACUCCAGGCUGACCACGUUUUCAUCUGCUUCCCCAAGAACCGUGAGGACAGAGCUUUCUUGGCUUUGAGAUUGUGAGACCCGGGCAUCCCCUUGUCCCCAAGAGACCCGACGCUUGCUUCAUGGUCUACACUCUGGAGAGAGAGGACCCGGGUGAGGAGGACUAGGUGCCAGCCCUGCCCAGUGUCCCUGUGCCCUCUCCUGGGUUAGUCCACAUGUCGUGAUUGUGCAGAAUAAACGCUCACUCCAUUAGCGGGGUGCUUCUUCGAGCUGAAUGCUGUGUUUGUCACACUCAAGUGUUGGCUUUAAUUCUAAAUAAAGGUUUCUAUUUUACUUUUUUAUUGCUGUUUAAGAUGGUCAGGUGACCUAUGCUAUAGCAGUCUCCUUUGAAGUCUGGAAAAAUAGUGUCACCUCCCCUGGCUCAAAUCCAAUAAAGUGAUCUCGUUCAUUGGC